GACGAACUGAAUGCCUACUACGUGCCAGAAAGUGCUGAACAAAGUUUCCAGCUGAAUGGAUCCCACAAGAAGAGAGGGAGAAGGGCCUGCUGAGCUCUACCUGCCCCCUCCACCUCGAUUGCUGUAUUUAUGUACAUUUCAUGGGCCAAACUGAACAAGAUUAACCCCUCCUCCAUGUGACAACCCUUCAAAUACUUGAAGACAGCUGUCAUGUACCCUCCACCCCCACCUCAAGCCUUCUGGUUCAUUGGAUUGAUAUU